AGAGUUUGAUCAUGGCUCAGGACGAACGCUGACGGUGUACUUAAUACAUGCAAGUCGAACGUGCAAUGCAGAGGUGGCAACACUUUUGCAAAGCAAGUGGCGAACGGGUGAGUAACGCGUGGGUAAUCUACCUUGGAGAUUGGGAUAACCUUUCGAAAGAAAGGCUAAUACCAAAUAUUCUAUAUUUUUGUAUGGAAAUAUAGGAAAAGUAGCCGCAAGGCCUCUGCUCUGAGAUGAGCCCGCGUCCUAUUAGCUAGUUGGUAAGGUAAUGGCUUACCAAGGCUUUGAUGGGUAGCCGGCCUGAGAGGGUGACCGGCCACACUGGGACUGAGAUACGGCCCAGACUCCUACGGGAGGCAGCAGUAGGGAAUAUUGCGCAAUGGGCGAAAGCCUGACGCAGUGACACCGUGUGAAGGAUGAAGAUCUUCGGAUUGUAAACUUCUGUCAAUUGAGGACGAAGGUGGUAGAGUUAAUAGCUCAAACACUGACGGUACUUAAUAAGGAAGUCUCGGCUAACUCCGUGCCAGCAGCCGCGGUAAUACGGGGGAGGCAAGCGUUGUCCGGAAUUAUUGGGCGUAAAGAGCGCGUAGGCGGUUUUUUAAGUCGUAUGUGAAAACUUCAGGCUUAACUUGAAGAUUGCAUGCGAAACUGGAAAACUUGAGUACAGUAGGGGAAAGUGGAAUCCCUGGUGUAGCGGUGAAAUGCGCAGAUAUCAGGAAGAACACCGAUAGCGAAGGCAGCUUUCUGGGCUGUUACUGACGCUG
rnacentral:rRNA from 1 species